AUAGGUUAAUGAGGCGAACCGGGGGAACUGAAACAUCUAAGUACCCCGAGGAAAAGAAAUCAACCGAGAUUCCCCCAGUAGCGGCGAGCGAACGGGGAGGAGCCCAGAGCCUGAAUCAGUGUGUGUGUUAGUGGAAGCGUCUGGAAAGGCGCGCGAUACAGGGUGACAGCCCCGUACACAAAAAUGCACAUACUGUGAGCUCGAUGAGUAGGGCGGGACACGUGGUAUCCUGUCUGAAUAUGGGGGGACCAUCCUCCAAGGCUAAAUACUCCUGACUGACCGAUAGUGAACCAGUACCGUGAGGGAAAGGCGAAAAGAACCCCGGCGAGGGGAGUGAAAAAGAACCUGAAACCGUGUACGUACAAGCAGUGGGAGCCUCUUAAUGGGGUGACUGCGUACCUUUUGUAUAAUGGGUCAGCGACUUAUAUUCUGUAGCAAGGUUAACCGAAUAGGGGAGCCGAAGGGAAACCGAGUCUUAACUGGGCGUUAAGUUGCAGGGUAUAGACCCGAAACCCGGUGAUCUAGCCAUGGGCAGGUUGAAGGUUGGGUAACACUAACUGGAGGACCGAACCGACUAAUGUUGAAAAAUUAGCGGAUGACUUGUGGCUGGGGGUGAAAGGCCAAUCAAACCGGGAGAUAGCUGGUUCUCCCCGAAAGCUAUUUAGGUAGCGCCUCGUGAAUUCAUCUCCGGGGGUAGAGCACUGUUUCGGCAAGGGGGUCAUCCCGACUUACCAACCCGAUGCAAACUGCGAAUACCGGAGAAUGUUAUCACGGGAGACACACGGCGGGUGCUAACGUCCGUCGUGAAGAGGGAAACAACCCAGACCGCCAGCUAAGGUCCCAAAGUCAUGGUUAAGUGGGAAACGAUGUGGGAAGGCCCAGACAGCCAGGAUGUUGGCUUAGAAGCAGCCAUCAUUUAAAGAAAGCGUAAUAGCUCACUGGUCGAGUCGGCCUGCGCGGAAGAUGUAACGGGGCUAAACCAUGCACCGAAGCUGCGGCAGCGACACUAUGUGUUGUUGGGUAGGGGAGCGUUCUGUAAGCCUGUGAAGGUGUGCUGUGAGGCAUGCUGGAGGUAUCAGAAGUGCGAAUGCUGACAUAAGUAACGAUAAAGCGGGUGAAAAGCCCGCUCGCCGGAAGACCAAGGGUUCCUGUCCAACGUUAAUCGGGGCAGGGUGAGUCGACCCCUAAGGCGAGGCCGAAAGGCGUAGUCGAUGGGAAACAGGUUAAUAUUCCUGUACUUGGUGUUACUGCGAAGGGGGGACGGAGAAGGCUAUGUUGGCCGGGCGACGGUUGUCCCGGUUUAAGCGUGUAGGCUGGUUUUCCAGGCAAAUCCGGAAAACCAAGGCUGAGGCGUGAUGACGAGGCACUACGGUGCUGAAGCGACAAAUGCCCUGCUUCCAGGAAAAGCCUCUAAGCAUCAGGUAACAUUAAAUCGUACCCCAAACCGACACAGGUGGUCAGGUAGAGAAUACCAAGGCGCUUGAGAGAACUCGGGUGAAGGAACUAGGCAAAAUGGUGCCGUAACUUCGGGAGAAGGCACGCUGAUAUGUAGGUGAAGCGACUUGCUCGUGGAGCUGAAAUCAGUCGAAGAUACCAGCUGGCUGCAACUGUUUAUUAAAAACACAGCACUGUGCAAACACGAAAGUGGACGUAUACGGUGUGACGCCUGCCCGGUGCCGGAAGGUUAAUUGAUGGGGUUAGCGGUAACGCGAAGCUCUUGAUCGAAGCCCCGGUAAACGGCGGCCGUAACUAUAACGGUCCUAAGGUAGCGAAAUUCCUUGUCGGGUAAGUUCCGACCUGCACGAAUGGCGUAAUGAUGGCCAGGCUGUCUCCACCCGAGACUCAGUGAAAUUGAACUCGCUGUGAAGAUGCAGUGUACCCGCGGCAAGACGGAAAGACCCCGUGAACCUUUACUAUAGCUUGACACUGAACAUUGAGCCUUGAUGUGUAGGAUAGGUGGGAGGCUUUGAAGUGUGGACGCCAGUCUGCAUGGAGCCGACCUUGAAAUACCACCCUUUAAUGUUUGAUGUUCUAACGUUGGCCCGUAAUCCGGGUUGCGGACAGUGUCUGGUGGGUAGUUUGACUGGGGCGGUCUCCUCCUAAAGAGUAACGGAGGAGCACGAAGGUUGGCUAAUCCUGGUCGGACAUCAGGAGGUUAGUGCAAUGGCAUAAGCCAGCUUGACUGCGAGCGUGACGGCGCGAGCAGGUGCGAAAGCAGGUCAUAGUGAUCCGGUGGUUCUGAAUGGAAGGGCCAUCGCUCAACGGAUAAAAGGUACUCCGGGGAUAACAGGCUGAUACCGCCCAAGAGUUCAUAUCGACGGCGGUGUUUGGCACCUCGAUGUCGGCUCAUCACAUCCUGGGGCUGAAGUAGGUCCCAAGGGUAUGGCUGUUCGCCAUUUAAAGUGGUACGCGAGCUGGGUUUAGAACGUCGUGAGACAGUUCGGUCCCUAUCUGCCGUGGGCGCUGGAGAACUGAGGGGGGCUGCUCCUAGUACGAGAGGACCGGAGUGGACGCAUCACUGGUGUUCGGGUUGUCAUGCCAAUGGCACUGCCCGGUAGCUAAAUGCGGAAGAGAUAAGUGCUGAAAGCAUCUAAGCACGAAACUUGCCCCGAGAUGAGUUCUCCCUGACUCCUUGAGGGUCCUGAAGGAACGUUGAAGACGACGACGUUGAUAGGCCGGGUGUGUAAGCGCAGCGAUGCGUUGAGCUAACCGGUACUAAUGAACCGUGAGGCUUAACCUUACAACGCCGAAG
rnacentral:rRNA from 1 species